AGUGAACGCUGGCGGUAGGCCUAACACAUGCAAGUCGAACGGCAGCACAGUAAGAGCUUGCUCUUACGGGUGGCGAGUGGCGGACGGGUGAGGAAUACAUCGGAAUCUACUUUUUCGUGGGGGAUAACGUAGGGAAACUUACGCUAAUACCGCAUACGACCUACGGGGGAAAGCAGGGGAUCUUCUGAGCUUGCGCGAUUGAAUGAGCCGAUGUCGGAUUAGCUAGUUGGCGGGGUAAAGGCCCACCAAGGCGACGAUCCGUAGCUGGUGUGAGAGGAUGAUCAGCCACACUGGAACUGAGACACGGUCCAGACUCCUACGGGAGGCAGCAGUGGGGAAUAUUGGACAAUGGGCGCAAGCCUGAUCCAGCCAUACCGCGUGGGUGAAGAAGGCCUUCGGGUUGUAAAGCCCUUUUGUUGGGAAAGAAAAGCAGCAGGUUAAUACCCCGCUGUUCUGACGGUAGCCAAAGAAUAAGCACCGGCUAACUUCGUG
rnacentral:rRNA from 1 species